UGGGGAAUUUUGCGCAAUGGACGAAAGUCUGACGCAGCAACGCCGCGUGGGUGAUGAAGGUCUUCGGACUGUAAAACCCUGUCGUCAGGGACGAAGGUGUGCAUGUUAAUAGCGUGUGCACUUGACGGUACCUGGAGAGGAAGCCCCGGCUAACUCUGUGCCAGCAGCCGCGGUAAUACAGAGGGGGCAAGCGUUAUUCGGAAUUAUUGGGCGUAAAGGGCGCGUAGGCGGUUUUUUAAGUCAGAUGUGCAAUCCCCGAGCUCAACUUGGGAACUGCAUCUGAGACUGGAAGGCUAGAGUACUGGAGAGGGUGGUGGAAUUCCUCGUGUAGCGGUGAAAUGCGUAGAGAUGAGGAGGAACACCAGUGGCGAAGGCGGCCACCUGGACAGUAACUGACGCUGAGGCGCGAAAGUGUGGGUAGCAAACAGG
rnacentral:rRNA from 1 species